rnacentral:rRNA from 1 species
CCUACGGGUGGCUGCAGUGGGGAAUAUUGGACAAUGGGGGCAACCCUGAUCCAGCCAUGCCGCGUGUGUGAAGAAGGCCCUCGGGUUGUAAAGCACUUUCAGUGAGGAAGAACGCCUGGUGGUUAAUACCCAUCAGGAAAGACAUCACUCACAGAAGAAGCACCGGCUAACUCCGUGCCAGCAGCCGCGGUAAUACGGAGGGGUGCGAGCGUUAAUCGGAAUUACUGGGCGUAAAGCGCGCGUAGGUGGCUUGAUAAGCCGGUUGUGAAAGCCCCGGGCUCAACCUGGGAACGGCAUCCGGAACUGUCAAGCUAGAGUGCAGGAGAGGAAGGUAGAAUUCCCGGUGUAGCGGUGAAAUGCGUAGAGAUCGGGAGGAAUACCAGUGGCGAAGGCGGCCUUCUGGACUGACACUGACACUGAGGUGCGAAAGCGUGGGUAGCAAACAGGAUUAGAUACCCCAGUAGUC